CUUCUUUAGCCUUCUCAAAAAGCUGGUUGUAAAUCUCAUCAUCAAGACAUGUUCGCCUACUUAAUAUCUGCCAACAGAACACAUUUUGUUAAGCCGGAAAACAAGAAUCCGCUGGAAAUAACAUGCAAAAACACUAGGAGAUUUCUUUCGACUUGUCCAAGCCUUAGUGAGAGGGAGGUACUAAUUGACGUGUGUGCAAACUUGGCCAAGACACCACAGUCAAAUAAAAAAAAAUGCACAUUUGAUAGCCCAACAAACUGAAGGCUUGAAAUAAAAUAUGGAGUUUGUGUAACUAAAUAUACUACUGACUUCUUUAGUUUACAUGGAACAAAAGUUUAGGAAUUGGAUAUGGAGGGAUAAUCCUAAUGUUCUAUUAGUAAACAAUAUUAGUUUCAAUACGAAGAGGAAGAGAAAGGUAGGGAAAUAUGGUUUUCCACAAAAUCUAAUCAGCUGAGCGUUAAUGAAACGUACAGGAUCUUAGGAAAGCAAAAGCUCUAAUGGGAUGAACAUGCUCAAUGCGAGGAUCAUUCACGACAUUUAACAUAAACAGCAAACUGAGAUGCCACAAAUUAUAAAUAGUCUCAUGCAAAUAAGGUAUAACAGGCUUGAAAGAACUAAAAGUAUCAAAGACUUGAUAUAAUUCUUCAAGAAAGUUACAAAUGAGAGCAGAUCAACAUAACAAUGACAGAAAAACUAGCAUGUUGAUAGACUCAGUCACUGGCCAUGAUUUCACAUCUAAACGGGUCGCCUGAUGCACAAAGCUUUCAGUCUUCAUGUAAGGUCCGGGGAAGGGCUACAACCCAAGGGUGUGUGAUGUACAUAGCCUAACCCAUCGAUCACACCGAAAAAACUUUACAGUUAUUUCAAGGCUCACCUUCAUCAUGAUUUCACAUCUAUGUACUAAAAACUCAUCCAUUUCAAAGACUACAAAACCACAAGAUUCAAAAACCUCCCUUUGUUCCUUAAACUUCAUACUCAAUCAAACUAAGACACUUAAAAAUUGGCACAGAGGGAGUCUAUAACUAAUCUAUCCAACACCUAAUAAGCAAAGUAGUCCUGAACUUCUACACUAAAAAUCCCGACUCUGCCUCUCUCUACCAACUAAAAACUCAUCCAAUUUUCAUAUAAAAUGGUAAAAGACAAUAACAUUAAAGGAUAACAAAGAAACUUACCCAUAAAUACUUCCUACUAGUCUGACCAUCUAUCUAUGUACAUAAAAAAUUAAAAAAUUAUCUUAUACAUUUUAUAGUGAACACCAUCCCACCCCCUGAUCACAAGACGACAACUUUACCAUUGUUCCAAGGCUACCAUAACUCAUCCAUUUUUUUACAACAAAUGACAAAGACAACAACUUUGAAUGUCAAAAGUUAGAAACAGGGAACUUACCCAUAGAUACUUCCUACUAGGCUGACCAUCUAUCUAUGUACAUAAAAAAAUCAAAAAAUUAUCUUAUACAUAUAUAGUUAACACCAUCCUUUCCCCUAGACGACAACUUUACCGUUGUACCAAGGCUACCAUAACUCAUCCAUUUUUCUACAAUAAUGACAAAGACAACAACUUUGAAUGUCAAAAGUUAGAAACAGGGAACUUACCCAUAGAUACUUCCUACUAGGCUGACCAUCUAUCUAUGUACAUAAAAAAAUCAAAAAAUUAUCUUAUACAUAUAUAGUUAACACCAUCCUGCUGCCCCCCCGAUCACAAGACGACAACUUUACCGCCGUUCCAAGGCUACCAUAACUCAUCCAUUGUUCAAUAACAAAUGACAAAGACAACAACUUUGAAUGUCAAAAGUUAGGGAAAAGGGAACUUACCCAUAAAUACCUCCUGCUAGGUUGACCAAUCAAAGCAUACUGAUAAUCCUCAUCAAUAUACAAAACCCAAUAAUCACCACGAUCACAAGACGACAACUUUACCGCCGUUCCAAGGCUACCAUAACUCAUCCACUUGUCAAUACAAAUGACAAGACAACAACUUUGAAUGUCAAAAGUUAGGAAAAGGGAACUUACCCAUAAAUACCUCCUGCUAGGUUGACCAAUCAAAGCAUACUGAUAAUCCUCAUCAAUAUACAAAACCCAAUAAUCACCAGUUACAGGAAUAAUAGGCAAAAAUGGUGGAACAUAAAACCUGACUUUCAAUUUUGCCUCAUCACUAUUAGGAUCAGCCUUAUAAGCAGUGCCUUCAAUAAACC
rnacentral:lncRNA from 1 species